rnacentral:rRNA from 1 species
UGAGGAAUAUUGCGCAAUGGGGGAAACCCUGAUGCAGCCAUGCCGCGUGAGUGAAGAAGGCCUUAGGGUUGUAAAACUCUUUCAGCGGGGAAGAUAAUGACGGUACCCGCAGAAGAAGCCCCGGCUAACUCCGUGCCAGCAGCCGCGGUAAUACGGAGGGGGCUAGCGUUGUUCGGAUUUACUGGGCGUAAAGCGCACGUAGGCGGAUUAUUAAGUCGGGGGUGAAAGUCCGAGGCUCAACCUCGGAACCGCCCUCGAUACUGGUAAUCUUGAGUCCGGGAGAGGUGAGUGGAAUUCCCGGUGUAGAGGUGAAAUUCGUAGAUAUUAGGAAGAACACCAGUGGCGAAGGCGGCUCACUGGCCCGGUACUGACGCUGAGGAGCGAAAGCGUGGGGAGCAAACAGGAUUAGAUACCCUGGUAGUCCACGCCGUAAACGAUGGAUGCUAGCUGUCGGUGGGCAUGCCCUUCGGUGGCGCAGCUAACGCAUUAAGCAUCCCGCCUGGGGAGUACGGUCGCAAGAUUA